rnacentral:rRNA from 1 species
UACGUAGGGUGCGAGCGUUGUCCGGAAUUAUUGGGCGUAAAGAGCUCGUAGGCGGUUCGUCGCGUCGAAUGUGAAAACCCGGGGCUCAACUCCGGGCCUGCAUUCGAUACGGGCGGACUAGAGUUCGGUAGGGGAGACUGGAAUUCCCGGUGUAGUGGUGGAAUGCGUAGAUAUCGGGAGGAACACCAGUGGCGAAGGCGGUUGCCUGGAGCUUUGCUGACGCUGAUGCGCGAAAGCGUCGGGGAGCGAUCCGG